CCAGGAACAGGAUUGAAACCACUGAACUGUAGGGUAUACGGACAUUUAAAACACUGAGAGAAACAUUGACGAAGGGGUUCUUGUGAAUACUCGGAUCAGAAUCUGUGCUGUCCAUAGAGGACCCCACUGUUGGCAUGGUGAUCCAAAUGGCUUAUGGGAAGAAAGGUAUGGGCUAGACUCCCUGAGAAGCGAGGGUACCCUGGGACUGCUGGGGAAAAGAAAUAAAGGUAAAGACGAGAGCAAUAAGGAGCAGAGGAGAGGAGAGCAAUGAGGAGCAAAGCCAAAGGGAGUAGAGGAG